GCAAUACUCCCUCCGUCCCAAAAUUCUUGUCUAGAUUUAGUAACUAGAUACAUCCGUAUCUAGACAAAUCUAAGACAAGAAUUUUGGGACGGAAGGAGUAUUAA
rfam:Triticum aestivum genome assembly, contig: Triticum_aestivum_CS42_TGACv1_scaffold_404571_5BL